rnacentral:rRNA from 1 species
UAGGGAAUCUUGCGCAAUGGGCGAAAGCCUGACGCAGCGACGCCGCGUGAGGGAUGACGGCCUUCGGGUUGUAAACCUCUUUCAGCAGGGACGAAGCCGCAAGGUGACGGUACCUGCAGAAGAAGCCCCGGCCAACUACGUGCCAGCAGCCGCGGUAAUACGUAGGGGGCAAGCGUUGUCCGGAUUUAUUGGGCGUAAAGAGCUCGUAGGCGGUCAUUCACGUCGGGUGUGAAAGCUCGGGGCUCAACCCCGAGAUGCCAUUCGAUACGGGAUGACUAGAGGUAGGUAGGGGAGAUUGGAAUUCCUGGUGUAGCGGUGAAAUGCGCAGAUAUCAGGAGGAACACCGGUGGCGAAGGCGGAUCUCUGGGCCUUACCUGACGCUGAGGAGCGAAAGCUGGGGGAGCGAACAGG